AGAGUUUGAUCCUGGCUCAGGAUGAACGCUAGCGACAGGCUUAACACAUGCAAGUCGAGGGGCAGCGGGGGUAGCAAUACCCGCCGGCGACCGGCGCACGGGUGAGUAACGCGUAUGCAACUUACCUAUCAGAGGGGGAUAACCCGGCGAAAGUCGGACUAAUACCGCAUGAAGCAGGGGCCCCGCAUGGGGAUAUUUGCUAAAGAUUCAUCGCUGAUAGAUAGGCAUGCGUUCCAUUAGGCAGUUGGCGGGGUAACGGCCCACCAAACCGACGAUGGAUAGGGGUUCUGAGAGGAAGGUCCCCCACAUUGGUACUGAGACACGGACCAAACUCCUACGGGAGGCAGCAGUGAGGAAUAUUGGUCAAUGGGCGUAAGCCUGAACCAGCCAAGUCGCGUGAGGGAUGAAGGUUCUAUGGAUCGUAAACCUCUUUUAUAAGGGAAUAAAGUGCGGGACGUGUCCCGUUUUGUAUGUACCUUAUGAAUAAGGAUCGGCUAACUCCGUGCCAGCAGCCGCGGUAAUACGGAGGAUCCGAGCGUUAUCCGGAUUUAUUGGGUUUAAAGGGUGCGUAGGCGGCCUUUUAAGUCAGCGGUGAAAGUCUGUGGCUCAACCAUAGAAUUGCCGUUGAAACUGGGGGGCUUGAGUAUGUUUGAGGCAGGCGGAAUGCGUGGUGUAGCGGUGAAAUGCUUAGAUAUCACGCAGAACCCCGAUUGCGAAGGCAGCCUGCCAAGCCAUGACUGACGCUGAUGCACGAAAGCGUGGGGAUCAAACAGGAUUAGAUACCCUGGUAGUCCACGCAGUAAACGAUGAUCACUAGCUGUUUGCGAUACAGUGUAAGCGGCACAGCGAAAGCGUUAAGUGAUCCACCUGGGGAGUACGCCGGCAACGGUGAAACUCAAAGGAAUUGACGGGGGCCC
rnacentral:rRNA from 1 species